rnacentral:rRNA from 1 species
UACGUAGGGUGCAAGCGUUGUCCGGAAUUACUGGGCGUAAAGCGCGCGUAGGCGGCUUUGUAAGUUAGAGGUGAAAGCCCAGGGCUCAACCCUGGAAUUGCCUUUAAGACUGCAUCGCUUGAACAUCGGAGAGGUAAGUGGAAUUCCGAGUGUAGAGGUGAAAUUCGUAGAUAUUCGGAAGAACACCAGUGGCGAAGGCGGCUCACUGGCCCGGUACUGACGCUGAGGUGCGAAAGCGUGGGGAGCAAACAGG